GUGGGGAAUAUUGGACAAUGGGCGAAAGCCUGAUCCAGCCAUGCCGCGUGUGUGAAGAAGGUCUUCGGAUUGUAAAGCACUUUAAGUUGGGAGGAAGGGCAGUAAGUUAAUACCUUACUGUUUUGACGUUACCGACAGAAUAAGCACCGGCUAACUUCGUGCCAGCAGCCGCGGUAAUACGAAGGGUGCAAGCGUUAAUCGGAAUUACUGGGCGUAAAGCGCGCGUAGGUGGUUUUGUAAGUUGGAGGUGAAAUCCCCGGGCUCAACCUGGGAACUGACUCCAAAACUACUGAGCUAGAGUACGGUAGAGGGUAGUGGAAUUUCCUGUGUAGCGGUGAAAUGCGUAGAUAUAGGAAGGAACACCAGUGGCGAAGGCGACUACCUGGACUGAUACUGACACUGAGGUGCGAAAGCGUGGGGAGCAAACAGGAUUAGAAACCCUAGUAGUCC
rnacentral:rRNA from 1 species